rnacentral:rRNA from 1 species
AUUGAACGCUGGCGGAAUGCUUUACACAUGCAAGUCGAGCGGCAGCGCGGGGCAACCUGGCGGCGAGCGGCGAACGGGUGAGUAAUGCAUCGGAACGUACCCAGUCGUGGGGGAUAACUGUCCGAAAGGACAGCUAAUACCGCAUACGUCCUGAGGGAGAAAGCGGGGGAUCGCAAGACCUCGCGCGAUUGGAGCGGCCGAUGCCGGAUUAGCUAGUUGGUAGGGUAAAGGCCUACCAAGGCGACGAUCCGUAGCUGGUCUGAGAGGACGACCAGCCACACUGGAACUGAGACACGGUCCAGACUCCUACGGGAGGCAGCAGUGGGGAAUUUUGGACAAUGGGCGAAAGCCUGAUCCAGCCAUGCCGCGUGCGGGAAGAAGGCCU